rfam:Oryctolagus cuniculus cont2.42282, whole genome shotgun sequence.
AGAGGGGACAGAAUAGAUGUUGGAGGAAGGACUCUGGGUUUCCAUGAGAACUCCAUGGAAGAGACCUACAACCUGUGAUCUCCUUGAUCU